rnacentral:rRNA from 1 species
CCCUUAGAUGUUCUGGGCCGCACGCGCGCUACACUGAUGCAUUCAACGAGCCUAGCCUUGACCGAGAGGUCCGGGUAAUCUUUGAAACUGCAUCGUGAUGGGGCUAGAUUAUUGCAAUUAUUAAUCUUCAACGAGGAAUGCCUAGUAAGCGUGAUUCAUCAAAUCGCGUUGAUUACGUCCCUGCCCUUUGUACACACCGCCCGUCGCUCCUACCGAUUGAAUGGUCCGGUGAAAUCUCGGGACGGCGGCUUGGUCGCUUGCGUCCGACUGCUGAAACUUGAUUAAACCAUAUCAUUUAGAGGAAGGUGAAGUCGUAACA